CCUAGAAGAGAAGAGGAGGUCAGCAGUGGGGCCCAGUGGCCAUGACUCCAGGCAUCUGAAUCAAGGGCAUCUCGGCAGGAGACAUGACACCAGGACAUGACGCCUGGGAGCACUCAGACUCCAGAAACUAUGUCAAGGGUUUUGAAGAAAAGAUGCCUCAUGUGUGUUGACUCUGCCCUCCACUGACCUCAGCGGAACUAACACUCCUACACUGCCUACCUGGUUGGGGUGAUCUGAAGACACAGGAGAGGCUGAGGAGUUUGAGAACCAGCAAGUUUAUCCAGAGACACUGUGUGUGGGACUUCUCAUUAUUAGAUUGCCAGGUCCAUUUAAUGCUUUCAUCCACACAGCCCUUCCCUCAAGGUCAGUCCUAUGAACUGUCCAGCUCCCAAUUCUGCCUCUGAUGGGGGCCCCACGGAUUGGUUAGGGCUGACUUCUGAGGCCACUGAUCUUUCCUGUGACCCCUGUGACUCCUGUCCUGGGGUUUGUUCAAAUUGCUCCUUAGACCCUUGCACUGUCGUGCCCCCCAGAGACCCCGCGGCAGGGCUUUACCCAUCCUGUGUGACUUCGACUGUGUCCAGCCAGCUGAACGUGCUCUGUGCCACCCCGUUCCACAGCGUGAUCUUUGCCGGUGUCACCUCAAUGCGGAAGUCCAUCUGAGUGCUGGCAAUGCCCAGUUUGCCAAAGUAAGUCUUUCUGGUCUGGGAGUCCAGGCUGUCUCUCUUCUCACCAAUAAUCUGCCCAUUAACUGUGAUGCCUGCCAGAGGGACAGGGCAGCAAGAGACCAGCAAUACCUUCAGAAUCCAGCCUGGUAUUUAGGGACGCACCUUCCCUUUCAGCCAGACCUACUAAGGGAUAGCACAGUGGGGCCCCCAGGGAGAGACCAGGACUUCAGAGCCAACCCUGUCUGUUCCUAGACACUUUGGGGUCAUGCUGGAAGCUGAGGGCUCACAUUGUGGAUCUGCCUCUUGCCUGAGCCAGGGAGUGUUGCUCAGAGAAAAACUAUUCCCCAGACACAGGCUGGGUCUUGCCUGCAGGCUCAGGCCACUCUUGACUCUAACCAUCUCCCCAACACUGCUGGCCCCUGGGGACUUGGUGAGCCUGUAGCCCUGGACAGCCCCCUGCAGGAUGUAAUCUGCACAUAAAGAUGGGUACAUUAUGGGCCUCGUGAUGAGCUGGUCCAUGUGCCUACCGUGGGGGGCUCCAGGCCUUCCCAGGAAGAGCCCCUGGCCCCAUCCUGCAGCCCUACCUAUGACAGGGUCCUGAAUGAGGCGCAGCACUGUGCCUGGGCCUUCAUCAAUGUUGAAGCAGAUGGCAUCGUCCUUCUCUGGAACUUGGAUGAUGAAGUGGGGAUCCCCAUCCACUGAGGGCACAUAGAGAAGGGGCUGGUUCUCGGGGUCUCUCACUGUUCCAGGGGCCUCCCCUUGCCUCCUGGCCCCUGUGGGAUGGCCUCCUAGACAGGCAGGAGGCCCUGAGCCCUGCAUCCUGAGCCUCCCCCCAGGAGGAGCCAGAGAACUCACCAUAAUAGUAGGGUGUCUGAGGAGGCUGGUAGCUGGCUGUGGACACAAAGGGAAAGAGGGCUGAGCCCAUAAGCAGACCUGGGGAGGCACUAAGUUCCCCAGCCAGAGUUUGGUUCAUGCCUCUCCCCCUCCCUCUCCUUAAUGCUCUUAACCCACCCCACCCCCCAUUUCCUCAGUACCCCAAUCAUCUGCCUGACCCAGUGAGCUGAUUCAGGAAAGACUCCAGAGGGAAUGGUGGGCAGCCAGCUGAUACUCACUCUGGGGAAGCCACCCUCAGUCAACUGACGAGAACCCUGAGACUCAGAGCGCAACAGAGCCCAGCCAGAGUUUGGCAGCAGAGCUGGGGCCUGAGCCCAGGUGUCCUGAGAGCCCUCCCCGGGUGGCACAUCCCCAGGUGUGCUUGGAAAGGCCUCCUUAGUCCUCUCGUGUCUCCCUCCUGGGACGCCGACCCAACUGAUGACUGAAGCUCACCUCCUGCAUCCAUAGGUCCUACGAGGAAGGAAGAAGAGAAAUGCAUUAGAAGCCACAGACUCCUGGUGUCAAGGGGGUGCCACACAAAGGCCCUGAACUGCCUAUCGUCCCCACACCUAGUGGGAAAUUCGUCCUUGGGCUGUGGAUCAAGGGUGUCGCACAAGAUGCCACUGGAGCCCCACCCGGCAUCAGCCCUCACCCCACCAUGCUGGGGAAUCAACCAGCCCGGCAGAGCUAUUUGGGACAGUAACCUGCCCAGCCCACUUCGCAAGGUAGAAUGGGACCAGGCUUUGAAAAUGGUUUCCCUGUCCUCCCGGUGCAGCUGAGACCCCAGUUCCUCUAGCAGGUCUCAUCAGCAAGCAGCUCCUGCCUCCAGCAUCCUCAUUCCUGACCAGGUGACCUGGGAGAAAGGUGAUGGUUAUGGCUUAUUCCCCUCCCCCUCACACACUCACUUGCAUCAUCCAGACCCCCAAGUUCAGACUCGCCCUGCUAGGGUCAGAGUUUCUGCCCCUGCCCCCCAACCGUGGCCCAAGAGGCAUCUAUGCCACCUUUUUCCCUGAGAAGGACUUGGUGAGGGCGCUGCCCAGGAGGUCAUUAGUGAUGAAUGAGGCUUCAGCAUCCAACGUGCUGAUGCCCUGGGGCUCGAAGAUGUCUGCCUUGAUCUGAAAUGGCAAAAGAUAAGGAGAUGUCAUUCCGUGGCAGUGCAGAGGCCAACCUCCAGGACAAGGACCAGGGCAAGGAGCUGGGUCAGUGAUGGUGCAGGGACCAGCCUCUAGGACAACUCUGUGAAGGCCAGUCCUGCUGUCUCCCACCAAGAAAAUGACCACAAGGGUUUGUAGACUGGUACUGUAAUCCCAAAGCUCUCCCACUAGCUGCCAUAUGGUGCUCACAUUCCACCACCAAAGCGUUUCCUUUGGCUUUCUACUCUGUUGUAGAUAAGAUGCCUGUGUACCUGGUUACAAACAUUACAGAGAUGCUUUGUAAUGUUGUCCCCAAGGACCCAGCUCCCAACCUGGAUCUGCGAGGUGCAGCCCAGCCUCCUCCCCUUGGCCCAGGUGCUGUGGCCAGAACCACCGUAAUUCCCUCAAACCCCCUGAGCCAAGUGGUGGGGCCUGGACUUCUGCAUUCUUGACCCUUCUGUGGGCUCUGCCCAGGGGCCCUUCCUCGCACCCCAGCCCUGGCAGUUUGAGCAGGGGCUGCAGGAGAGCAGCUGAUUACCUCAAAGUGCUUGACCAGUUGCUUGGGCUGGACCUUGAGGUACAUCUCAUACUUGCCCUUGUGCCUCUUCAGCAGCUCCUCGUAGGUUAGCUCAAAGGUGACCUUGCUGCCUGAAGCCACGUUGACUGAGACUGUGAAUUUCUCCAGCUUCCUCCCAGAGGCCCUGGACAGGGAUGUGAGACAGUGACUGCAUGAACCCACCCUUCCUGGGGUUUUAGUUCAAGCCCCUUCUCCUUGGGGGAAGACCUCCACCCACUCUGAGCCUUGGUUGCCUCAACUUCAAAACGGUUAAUGUUAUAAGAAUUAUAGGCGCAUUAAUGAAACAGUAGCUGCUGUUCUGUUGUUUGAGUUCUGAGGGCCUGGACAGCCCUGGCAUUCUCCCCAAGGCAUGGGAGGGGGGGUGUUGGGGAGGAGGUGGGUCACACUUACUUGACCAAGCCAGCCGUCUUGCCCUGGGACACGGCCUUUUCAUACUGCUUCUUGGCAACUUCCUUCUCCUUGACAUUCCCAGGGUACGUAACGCCAUCGAUGGUCCUGUAGGGAGAGAGAGUUGAGGGGCUUUUGCUGGGCCCGCCUCCCGUCCUGAGCCCAGAGCAAGCAGCCGUGGUGACACCCACAAGGUGAAAUUGGUGAUGAAGGCUGUCUUGGGCAGCUCCACAUCGAAAGAGACCUCCUUGGCCGUGUCUGCAUGGUUGACGGCCCUGGUGGUGACGACAUUGUGAGCGAAGCGGGAGGUCACCUUGCAGGUGAUCUUGGUGCUGUAGACCUCAAUGCCGUUGACCACCUGCAGGAGAGGGGUUGUUAGCAGCCAGCCUGAGGCACCUGGCUGCUCCACUUCCAAGCUCCUCUCUGCAGGCUCCAAAGCUUCUGCAUGGGCUUCAGGGAAGCAUCUGGGUUAAACAUGGAUAUAAAGAUGCUUCGUGAGGGUGUGACAGGGCCAUUCGCUGCGUAUCCCCUGCCCAGCACCCAGAGCCUGCUUUUUUGAGAGAUAAGACCCUCAACCAAGACAAGUCCUCUUGGAAGCUCUGAGCCUUGGAGGACACGUUGGAGAUGGACCUGUCCUGGUGCCUGGCUGCACUGCUGACCCAUGGUGAGUCCACUGGCUUCAACACCCCACCCCACAGCUCUGCAAUUCUAGCCAGCCGUACCCAGCAGCCCAUGUGUCCGCGCUGACAUCCUGUGACUAUCCAGCACGUAGAAGCCCAGGAAGUCCUGGUGGACAGCACUCCCCUUCCACACCCGGUGCAGGACGACCUCAAAGGUGCCCCUGUCCUCCACAGACACCAC